GGACGAACGCUGGCGGCGUGCUUCAUACAUGCAAGUCGAACGAGAAGCUGACUUCGGUCAGUGGACAGUGGCGGACGGGUGAGUAAUAUGUAGGAAAUCUGCCUUUAGGAGGGGGACAACAGAGGGAAACUUCUGCUAAUACCCCAUAUGAGCGUAGCUGAAAUGCUAUUCUUGAAAACUCCGGUGCCUAAAGAUGAGCCUGCAUCUGAUUAGCUAGUUGGUAGUGUAAUGGACUACCAAGGCGACGAUCAGUAGCUGGUUUGAGAGGAUGAUCAGCCACAAUGGGACUGAGACACGGCCCAUACUCGUACGGGAGGCAGCAGUAGGGAAUUUUGCGCAAUGGGCGAAAGACUGACGCAGCCACGCCGCGGGAACGAUUAAGCCCUUCGGGGUGUAAAGUUCUGUCAGUAGGGACGGAGCUUGACGGUACCCACAGAGGAAGCACCGGCUAACUCCGUG
rnacentral:rRNA from 1 species